AGAGUUUGAUCCUGGCUCAGAUUGAACGCUGGCGGCAUGCCUAACACAUGCAAGUCGAACGGCAGCGCGGGGGCAACCCUGGCGGCGAGUGGCGGACGGGUGAGGAAUACAUAGGAAUCUACCCUGUCGUGGGGGAUAACGUAGGGAAACUUACGCUAAUACCGCAUACGACCGAGAGGUGAAAGCGGCGGACCGCAAGGCGUCGCGCGGCUGGAUGAGCCUAUGUCCGAUUAGCUAGUUGGCGGGGUAAUGGCCCACCAAGGCGACGAUCGGUAGCUGGUCUGAGAGGGUGAUCAGCCACACUGGAACUGAGACACGGUCCAGACUCCUACGGGAGGCAGCAGUGGGGAAUAUUGGACAAUGGGCGCAAGCCUGAUCCAGCAAUGCCGCGUGGGUGAAGAAGGCCUUCGGGUUGUAAAGCCCUUUUGUACGGGAGGAAAUCCUGUCGGUUAAUACCCGGCGGGGAUGACGGUACCGUAAGAAUAAGCACCGGCUAACUUCGUGCCAGCAGCCGCGGUAAUACGAAGGGUGCAAGCGUUAAUCGGAAUUACUGGGCGUAAAGCGUGCGUAGGCGGUUGGCUAAGUCAGAUGUGAAAGCCCUGGGCUCAACCUGGGAAUGGCAUUUGAAACUGGCCGGCUAGAGUGUGAUAGAGGAUGGCGGAAUUCCCGGUGUAGCGGUGAAAUGCGUAGAGAUCGGGAGGAACAUCCGUGGCGAAGGCGGCCAUCUGGAUCAACACUGACGCUGAGGCACGAAAGCGUGGGGAGCAAACAGGAUUAGAUACCCUGGUAGUCC
rnacentral:rRNA from 1 species